rnacentral:rRNA from 1 species
GUCGGANACACUGGAAACAGAUGCUAAUACCGGAUAACAACAGAUGAUGCCUAUCAACUGUUUAAAAGAUGGUUCUGCUAUCACUCUUGGAUGGACCUGCGGUGCAUUAGCUAGUUGGUAGGGUAACGGCCUACCAAGGCGAUGAUGCAUAGCCGAGUUGAGAGACUGAUCGGCCACAUUGGGACUGAGACACGGCCCAAACUCCUACGGGAGGCAGCAGCA